AACCACUCCAUCAAGCUGGGAUCAUUAUGAGGACAGUCAGUGGGCCAUACGAUUGGAGGAAAGCAUUCCGGGCAAUGUGAUGGGAAGAGCUAUGAGAGCCCAGGGAUGAAGUCAAGGUGACUGUGCCACCUGUUUGCCCAGUGUGGCCCCACCAUCCCGCCAUCCCAGUGUGACUACUAGAUAGUUCCCCCUUUUACUCUCAAGUGUCCCAGUUUGAAUGACAAAUCAUGAGUUUGAGGAAGUCUGCCAAACAUUGAAAUCAUUUGCAGAGUGUCACAGAUGUGUGCGUUGUUUCUGGGCAUAGGUCCCUUGUUCAGAACAUGCCCUAAGGGGGCCAUCCCCAUGGCGUAAGGAGUUUGGUUUUUGUUUUUUGUUUUUUUAAGGAAAAUGAGCCUAGCCUUUGUGUGCAGCACAGAAUCCAGUGGGGGAAGUGCAGCAGGUGUUGGUAGGAGGCUCCGGAGAUAAGGCCUGUACCAGGUGGGAGGGGAAGGCGGGCCCCCAAGACUGCAGAGUAGAUGAAAAACCACCUGAAGAAGUAUGUACAUGGUCCAGAACACGGGCUCUGGAGUUCCUGUGUGACUUUGGACGAGUUGAUCACCUUAAACCUCUACUGCUCAUUUGUGAAGGAGAGAGAAUAGCAACACCUGUCCAAGGAUUUCGAGGAUUUGCAACAAUCCACGGUUCAACAAGGGUGCACAGAGACCCAAGAGUGUGGAAGAGGAAGCCAUAGAGUGAUGGAAUAAAUAACUGGUUUCCUUGAAAAUGAAUGGCAAAGUCAUCUGGUACAUUUUCCCUCCUUUUUUUAGCACUAAGUUCAUUGACCUGACUACUCAGAAAAAAUUAAAACAUGAUGAUAUCAAUGUUGGAGUGAUUUGAUGUUGUAGACCAGAUGUUUUUAUGCCAGUUAAAAUACCUCAGCUAGUCUCCAUUCAGGAAACCCCACAGACAUUGAGUGUGUUCAGCCUCUCACAGAACCAUCAGAA
rnacentral:lncRNA from 1 species